GGUGUAGGCGGAGCGGUAAGUAUCUUGUGAAAGCCCCCGGCUCAACCGGGGAAUUGCUUGGUAUACUAUCACUCUUGAGGCAGGUAGGGGUUGCUGGAACGUUAGGUGGAGCGGUGAAAUGCGUAGAUAUCUAAACGGAACGCCUGUGGCGAAAGCGGGCAACUGGACCUGUCCUGACGCUGAGACCCGAAAGCGUAGGGAGCGAACG
rnacentral:rRNA from 1 species